rnacentral:rRNA from 1 species
UACAGAGGGGGCAAGCGUUGUUCGGAAUUACUGGGCGUAAAGGGCGCGUAGGCGCCUGUUAAGUCGAACGUGAAAUCCCCGGGCUCAACCCGGGAACUGCGUCCGAUACUGGCAGGCUUGAAUCCGGGAGAGGGAUGUGGAAUUCCAGGUGUAGCGGUGAAAUGCGUAGAUAUCUGGAGGAACACCAAUUGCGAAGGCAGCUCACUACACGAAAUAUUUGACACUGAGGCACGAAAAGCGUGGGGGAUCAAACAGG